rnacentral:lncRNA from 8 species
AUGAUCCCUGCCUGGUCUCUCGGUGUCAUCCUCCUGGGCUAUGUCUUUGGAUUCCCAGUCCCCUUCAACAGCACCCAGAGAAUGAUACUUCCUAUGGAGAAUAUGAGUCUGUUAUUGGAUUACGACCACGCAAUACCAUGCAGCGUGUCUCUCUGCUACCUUCCCACCUGUAUGAACUCUAAUCUGGGGUCAGCCCUGCAGAAAGGGAGCGAGAUAGCGGGCACCUCCUGUCACGUCCUGACCAGCAGAGGGAGGCCAGAGGAGACCUAUGUUCCUUGGAACAGCACUGACACAGAGUACGGCUCAACGCCUGAGGAGUUGAUGCAGAGUCGGAACGAGACAGAUAGCAACUCAACAUUACCUAUACACGGGUACAACGGUCCUCCACUCCUUAUAGAUAUAAGGGAAAGAAAACGUCCAUUGCAUGAAUAUUAUGCAGCAGCUCCUCAAGGCUGCGUGGUGAGUCUCUGUGCCCUGGGCCAUAUACUGAACCAGGGCGGGGACGAGAGUGCAGGCGGGGCAACCAGAGACCCACAUGGCAACGGCAAGAGAUGAGAGGAAGAGCAUUGGAGGAAGAUGAGAAGAAGUGUAAUGUGGGGCCUCAUACAGUAGUUGCUGGCUGUCCUCUAUUGCUCUUAAGCCAUUACUUUUCUUAUUCUGCUUUCCUUUGUCAUCACUGAUCUGGAAGGACAAGAGGAUUGAGAGAAACGUUGAAAUAUUUAGUCACUCCACCUGCCUAUUGCUUAUGUGCAGCACUUGGUGAUGGGGGAGAGGACACAAUAGGAGAGGAGUUGCACAGAAGGUGUAUUUUGUGUGUGGUAAAGCUAAAAAGUUGCUAUUUAUUAAAGACAUAUUAAUAAUUGUCUUAAUUAAUCACUUAAGAAAAGUAUCAAAUAUUUGUCAUUGUGUACUACAGGGCUGGCUCCAGGCAUAAGCGACGUACUGUAGGCUGUCGUUUAGGGCCCCUGGCCCCCAAUAGAGUCUCAACUGUUGAGAGUUAGAAUAUUAGAAUACACAAGAUACAAGAUCGAAAUGUGAUCGUGCAGUCACUCAAUUAGCCAUGACAGCUAACAAUUUUUAGAUUGGUAAGUUAGUCUAGCCAGGUAUCUACAUUUGUAGUAAUCAUGGCCGAAUACCGACCCGGCACGCAGGGCACGUAGCCAGGGGCCUGACCUCCAGAGGGACCCCAUUGAUUUUGUUUGUCACUCUCACUCAGAUAUCAUUAACAUGGCAUAAGUCAUGGCAAAAUGUGUAGAAUUGCAGAAAAUUUGCUUUAAAACAGCACAUAGCCUGCUGUAUUUCUCUCUGCCCCAUGGCAAAAUGAGUAGAAUUGCAUAAAAGUUGUUAUAAUAUUGCAAAAUGUUCUCUCCGCCCCAUGGCAAUGUCUAGCACUGCAGGAAAUGUACCUUAAAACGUACAUUAUUGUCUUAAAUGUAAGGGGGGGGGGGGGGGUGUGGCGGACGACAUAAACCUAUUGUUAUAAGCAAAUGUUUGGAGAGGUUUCACGAGCGCGCCAUGACACCCUCAUGCAUUUUGGUGAAGGAAAAGUCAAACCUACAUCCCUUGAAAUUUCUCUUGCACAUUUAAUGUGAUAGGGAUUGUAUUGGUGCUGAAUGUAUCCAGAUAAUAAAAGGAUAUUCAAAAUAUUUAAUUGUUGUGGGUGAUAGUUGCGCAUAACCUCAAUAUGCAAGAAGGCUAGCUGGCUUUUGGGAAGAGCAGCGGACAUGGAUUCUCAAAAACAGGAGUUUUGGAAGGAGGCUAUUUUGAAAGAAACAUUUGUUAGACUAAAUGGAUUUUGAAAUAACUGGAUCAAACCUGAACUCGUCAAAAAAGGUGGGUGAAAAACGAGGGAUGAAACUGCCACAAAUCAACGAACCUCAACGUAAAGCCAAACCUAUGAAAACGCUGACCAGAGAAGGGGCGAAGUUCAAAAGUAGAGAUGAGAAGGUGCUUAUCGAACCGGUUUCGGGAGAGACUCGGGUGUGCUGUAUGAUGGCUUUUCGGAAGAGGAGACUGGACGCUACAAAUAUCUCCUCCCUGAGGUCAAGAACUUCUACCCUAUAACCAGCAACUGGCAGUAUGGAUGGGCUCUAGGUCAAAAAAAAUUGGCUUAAUUGUUGAUCAACAAUUCCAGCAACAUGGCAAAACCACUCAUCAUGGAUUUGGAAUGUUUGAACGUUUUCUGCUUUGAAGUAGCGAAAAGAAACGGGCACAUCACAUGCAAUACAGUAGAAAAACUAUUCAGUGGGUGACAUCAUGGCCCUGCCCAGCCUUUACCUUUACUACAUUCCAUGUCUUAUCUCCAGUUGUCAUGGUAACUGCCCCUGCUGUGCCCCCUCUGAAUGCAGGUGACAUGAACAAGGCCCUCGACCUGAUGUACGCACUCAACGCCAUUGUAAAAGAGAGCCUCUUCCACAAGAACGGCAUCUUCCCUCGCUCCGCCACCUCAGACACCGUGGCGUGAGGGUGCCCACCGGAUCACACAGGACCCAAAUGACAAUACAAACACACCACCAACACCUGCACUGGUUUUUAUUGUGUAUUCAUCCUAUUUUGUGAAGACGAAAAAUGAAGCUGC